GACAGAGGCCUCAAGCGUUAGGCGGAAUCACUGGGCUUAAAGCGUGUGUAGGCGGAUCGUUAAGUGUCUUGUGAAAUCCCACGGCUCACCCGUGGAACGGCUGGGCAUACUGGCGAUCUUGGGCCAACUAGGGGCAACUGGAACAAGCGGUGGAGCGGUGAAAAUGCGUAGAUAUCGCUUGGAACGCCAAAGGUGAAAACAGGUUGCUGGGGUUGUGCCG
rnacentral:rRNA from 1 species